rnacentral:rRNA from 1 species
AUUCCAGCUCCAAUAGCGUAUAUUAAAGUUGUUGCAGUUAAAAAGCUCGUAGUUGGAUUUCUGGCGGGAGUCCGGGUCGGCCUUAACGGGUUGCACUGUUGUGACGUCUCGCCGUUUCGAGGGGAAUGGGCUCGCUAUUAGGUUAGUGUGUUCGGGAACCUCGUCGUUUACUGUGAAAAAAUUAGAGUGUUCAAAGCAGGCCUUUGCUGUGAAUACAUUAGCAUGGAAUAAUAAGAUAGGACUGUAGUGCUAUUUUGUUGGUUUGCGUACUAUGGUAAUGAUUAAUAGGGAUAGUUGGGGGUAUUCAUAUUCAAUUGUCAGAGGUGAAAUUCUUGGAUUUAUGGAAGAUGAACUACUGCGAAAGCAUUUACCAAGGAUGCUUUCAUUG